CUACGGGGGGCAGCAGUGAGGAAUUUUGCGCAAUGGGGGCAACCCUGACGCAGCAACGCCGCGUGAGUGAAGAAGGCCUUUGGGUCGUAAAGCUCUGUCAAUGGGGAAGAAGUUACUUGGUAUUAAUAGUGCCUUGUAUUGACGGUACCCAUGAAGGAAGCACCGGCUAACUCCGUGCCAGCAGCCGCGGUAAUACGGGGGGUGCAAGCGUUAUUCGGAAUUAUUGGGCGUAAAGGGCACGCAGGCGGUCCUGUCAGUCAGAUGUGAAAGCCCAGGGCUCAACCCUGGACGUGCAUUUGAAACAGCAGGACUUGAGUACGGGAGAGGAAAGGGGAAUUCCUGGUGUAGAGGUGAAAUUCGUAGAUAUCAGGAGGAACACCGGUGGCGAAGGCGCCUUUCUGGACCGAUACUGACGCUGAGGUGCGAAGGCGUGGGUAGCGAACGGGAUUAGAUACCCCAGUAGUC
rnacentral:rRNA from 1 species